CACGUAGGAGGCGAGCGUUGUCCGGAAUCAUUGGGCGUAAAGAGCGCGCAGGCGGUUUUGUAAGCCAGAAUGUGAAAUCCCCGGGCUCAACCUGGGAAUGGCCGUUGAAACUGGCGAACUGGAGUGUGGCAGAGGGGGAUGGAAUCCGCGUGUAGCAGUGAAAUGCGUAGAUAUGCGGGAGGAACACCGAUGGCGAAGGCAAUCCCCUGGGCCUGCACUGACGCUCAUGCACGAAAGCGUGGGGAGCAAACAGG
rnacentral:rRNA from 1 species